CGUUAGGUAGCUACAUUUCUGAGAUUCUGUUCAACAUCGAGGUAGACAACAAGACUUGCUAUUUUUUCAAAAAGAUAAACUCAGUGGUUAAAGGAAUAUUGGGAAAAUGUUAAGACAGUCUUGCUGUAUCACAUUAGCGUUGAACAUUAGUAAAUUCUUCAACUACUUUCUUCGAAUGGGACUUAUUUGAAAUUAUAUUCGAGCCCUUCGCGUUGUGUAGAUGCGUGUCCCUGUGUCGGUGCUGCAGUGAGCUCGACCGGUAGGGGUGUGGAAGACUGAACAGAUUAAAUUACCACAACAUCAACCCAGGCCGCCAUUUUUACACCACUUUCAUGAGGACAGCGAAAAAAAUCGUGUGGCCAAGAAGACCUCGACGUACGGAGAAAAGUACUGUGAAAGAAGAACAGGGGACCCGGGUGAGACCCCCGCCGCCCGUCUCCACACAACCAAAACAAGACUACUGUCUCCACUGCGGGUUUACAACAACGGGGAAAAAAUGUUAAGCCUAACACUACCCCCCAUAAAAUAACUACCGUUUGUUCUGUCGUUCGUGGGUGUCACUCGGACUCCUGUAUUUUAAGUUUUUCUUGUUCAGAACCAUUUAAUUCUCUGUCCUAUCUAUGGUGACUGUUGGAAACUCGAUUCGCUCACUCCUGUCUCUUUCCCCUUUGCAAAAAUGGCGGCUCAGGCAGGACUGCCGUGGCUCCGCCUCCCCCGACGAGCCCCCCCUCAUCAACCCGAACCCCGCCCCUACACUCUGCGGGGUUCACCCGCCGACAAACACAGGGGCGCAGCGAGAGGAGAGAGUUCAUCAGCGAAAAGCGCGUUCACGAGAACCAGUAGAACUGAUCUGUAGUCCAACUCCAAGCCUCUCCUUUUGAGAAAUGGAAAAUGAGCUCGCUGUAUUCACUCACAGCGUCAUGCUUUUAUGGGGCAGAUUACAUCUGGAGAUUUGUAGUUGUGCUUUGUGUUACAUUAUUCCCUCAAUCACAACUAAUUCAAGCUGGAGUGCUUUGUUGCAAGCUUGAAACAUUAAAUAUUUAUGUUAAGAUGUGGAUGUGUAAUAAUGCCUAGCUUUUGUAAAUUGUAAAGUUUCUCAAGGAAACAGACUAUGAUACAAACGAUAAAAUAAAAAAGGAAAUGAAUGGGGGAAAGUGAAGAUGUGUUCUGAAAAUAACAAUACAUGUUCAAGACUGCAAUGUCUCAUCAAGCACACUCAUCAGAUGAUUGUGACUGGAAAUUGUAGUAAGAUUAUACAAAUGGCAAGAGAGUUCAAAUGUUAUGUAUUUUUUCAAUUGAAUAGUCACCCUUACAUCCUUCUCAAUAUUCUUGUAUCAUCAGAGUAUUAAAGUUGAAAAAUCAGUGUCA